rnacentral:tRNA from 1 species
GCCGUCGCGGUGUAACGGUACCACAUUCGGCUUGCAUUCGAAAGGUUCAGGUUCGAGUCCCGACGAGGGCA